rnacentral:lncRNA from 1 species
UCUUGUUCAGAAGACAGAAAGUGCGGAAAGUCUUGAGGACAUAUGGGGCGUAACCGAGUUGGAACUCGAUGAAAUCAUGGUUUCACAUUGCCAUUAGGGUAGAUUUUUUCACUUUUAUGCGCAAUCACCUCUUUUCAGGGAUUGCUUCCUGUGUGUUGCUCGGUUUUGAGCUAUCUUUUUCAGUCAAUGAAAUGCGUGUUCAGUCAGAUAAUUUUGUUUUUGUCUUCAUUACCGCCUUGAUUGCAAAAACAUCCGUUUGUUUUGAUAAGAAUAGUUGCAUUUU